ensembl:rRNA 5S_rRNA 5S ribosomal RNA
UUCGUCAGUGUCAUUGUGGGUUUUGAGCCUGGUCAGUACCUGGAUGGGAGACCUCCUGGGAAAACUAGGUUGCUGUUGGAA